CGAACCGAAGGUGAGACGAACUGCCGCACUUGCAUGGGGUGCAAGGGGUCGAAGGUUCAAAUCCUUUCAGUCCGACCA
rnacentral:tRNA from 1 species